rnacentral:rRNA from 1 species
AGUGAACGCUGGCGGUAGGCCUAACACAUGCAAGUCGAACGGCAGCACAGGAGAGCUUGCUCUCUGGGUGGCGAGUGGCGGACGGGUGAGGAAUACAUCGGAAUCUACUUUUUCGUGGGGGAUAACGUAGGGAAACUUACGCUAAUACCGCAUACGACCUACGGGUGAAAGCAGGGGAUCUUCGGACCUUGCGCGAUUGAAUGAGCCGAUGUCGGAUUAGCUAGUUGGCGGGGUAAAGGCCCACCAAGGCGACGAUCCGUAGCUGGUCUGAGGGGAUGAUCGGCCAAACCGGAACGGAGACACGGGCCAGACUCCGACGGGAGGCAGCAGUGGGGGAUAUUGGUCAGUGGGCGCAAGCCUGAUCCAGCCAUACCGCGUGGGUGAAGAAGGCCUUCGGGUUGUAAAGCCCUUUUGUUGGGAAAGAAAUCCAGCUGGUUAAUACCCGGUUGGGAUGACGGUACCCAAAGAAUAAGCACCGGCUAACUUCGUGCCAGCGGCCGCCGUAA